rnacentral:rRNA from 1 species
GAUUAACGCUGGCGGCGUGCAUAACACAUUCAAGUCGAACGGUUGUAGCAAUACAACAGUGGCGGACGGGUGAGUAACGCGUGAGCAAUCUACCUUCCAGUGCGGAAUAACAACCGGAAACAGUUGCUAAUACCGCAUGAAACAGCAGCACCGCAUGGUGCAACUGUCAAAGGCUUGCUGCUGGAAGAUGAGCUUGCGUCCGAUUAGGUAGUUGGUGAGAUAGAAGCCCACCAAGCCGACGAUCGGUAGCCGGACUGAGAGGUUGAACGGCCACAUUGGAACUGAGAUACGGUCCAG